rnacentral:lncRNA from 1 species
AGGCCAUCAGCCAACAGUGGGCAUAGGAUAAGUGCAAUAUAGCAUCACUGCGUUUUGUCUGUCCAGUGGUGUCCUCACACCCUAGCGGUGAAGGGCGGAGCCACAUCUGGCACCUACAAUGUGGGAGGGACAUACCCAGCUGAUGCAAAUCCCAGCUGGACCCACGCAGGCCCACAUAGGAACUCCAGACUAUGAGCAACCUCUGGCGCUAGUUCCAAAACCCAGACUUUCCCACUCUAAAGACAGACACUCUGACGUCUUCCCACUUUUGUUUUCGGGUGUAGAUACUCCACUGACCUCCAUCUAAAUCCAGAUAGUCCAAUGGGCCAUUAACAAAAACUGCAAUUGCUACCCCCGCCCCCACGCCCUCCGACCCUGCUGAUAAGGUGCCAGAAAGUUUCUAUGCUCCUUUUCUUUCCGUUCUACUUUUAGGGUGUACAUAAAACACCCCUCCUUCACCUGCCUUCUAGCAAUACCAGCCAAGGCAAACACCUGGGGAGAAAAAGGGACCUGCCUGCUGGAGCAGACAGCCACAGCUGAGGCAUGGCAGAGCAGGCCUGUACCCCUCCACCUAGGCAAACAGAGCCUACCAAGCAAGGACAGUAGCUAAGAUCUUGCUGCUGAGAAUCAAAAUUUUCAUGCUGCUUUGUUUAAAUGCUUGUUCUUUGCCUAGUAGGAGCACCUAAAACAAAAUACCCAAAAAUUUCAUGCUUCUUUAUUUAAAUGUUUAUUUUUUUUCUGUAAUAGGAACACCUGAAAUAAUGUUUGUGUCUUCUAAACUAAGAUUGUCCUAAAAUUUCUUUUAAACUUUAAAAAUAAUAUUUAAUAUACUCCCAUAGGUCAAACCAACUACAUUAAUAACCAUUAUUUAAUCCUUAAUUAACAACUAAUUUCCUUUUACAGACAAGUUGUUACUGCCUAUCCCAGAUACAUAAUUAGCAGGACAUUUUCUUCCUCAGCCAUCUAAAUCAAAUGAAUUUUCAAUUCUUCCCUCUGGUUUCCUUAAUACAACACAGGUGACUCCCCACUUGAAGGAUGGCUUCUAGGACUGAAUUCCUCAAACACCCUUGCCCUUUUUCUAGGACCAUCACAGCAGAGCAGGAUGUGCUCGUAAGAAAACUGUACAUACACAUUCCCCACCCUGUGCAGACAUCCCCUGCUGGGGUUUUGCUUCUUGGUUGUGAUUUUUCUACAGGCUUACCUC